GGCAAUAUAGCUCAGUGGUACAGCCCGUGCUUAGCAUGCACGAGGUCCUGGGUUCAGUCCCCAGUAGCUCCA
rnacentral:tRNA from 1 species